GUACACGCUGUGACUAGCAUAUCAAUAAGCGGAGGAAAAGAAACUAACAAGGAUUCCCCUAGUAACGGCGAGUGAAGCGGGAAGAGCUCAAAUUUGAAAUCUUAAAGGGUUUCCCUUUACGAAUUGUAGUUUAAAGAAGUGUUUUCUGUUGAGGUUUUGGUAAAAGUUCUUUGGAAUAGGACAUCAUAGAGGGUGAGAAUCCCGUAUUUGACCUUUACUUUCAACUUUGUGAUACACUUUCAAAGAGUCGGAUUGUUUGGGAAUGCAGUCCCAAAAUGGGUGGUAAAUUUCAUCUAAAGCUAAAUAUUGGCGAGAGACCGAUAGCGAACAAGUACCGUGAGGGAAAGAUGAAAAGAACUUUGAAAAGAGAGUUAAACAGUACGUGAAAUUGUCAAAAGGGAAGCGUUUGACACCAGUGUUGUUUUUCUGAAAAUCAAUUAAAGAACUGUUUAUGCUAAGCUGUUUAGACUUUAUCAGCUAAUCUGUUUAGUUUAGAGCUUUUCUUUAAUGCACUUUUCAGUUAACAAGUCAACAUCAAUUUCUUUUGCUGUAAAAAAGCUUGAGGAAGGUGGCUUGAGAUUCGUCUUAAGUGUUUAUAGCCUCUUGCCUAUGCAGUCGGAGAGAUUGAGGUCUGCAGCGUAGAUCCUUCGGGGCUAAAUGCAUUUGUGCUAAGUUAUAGCAUUUUAUAGACAACUUGUUGACUAUGAUUUGUCUUGUAGCUUACUCGCUUAUGUUAUUUUACCUACGCUUAGGAUGUUGAGUCGUAGAGCACGCAG
rnacentral:rRNA from 1 species